rnacentral:lncRNA from 1 species
CAAAGCACUAGGUAGAGGUCUGAGGAAUGUAAACAGGGAGGAUAGGAUGGAUGGCAGAGCAUCAUGUUCAAAGAAGAUGCAUAGUUUCCAGGGUUUGUUUCUUGCUCUAACAACAACAAAAAACGUGAAUACAAAAUUGAGAAGCCAGAAUCCCACAGGAUCCAAACUUAAAGUGACAUUUUACAGGACAUCCAAGUGAACUAGAAAUACACAAGAUUCAUCUGUAUAAUGGAUUUAUUACCUCCCCACUAUAUGAGAAAGAAGAGGAAAUCUUAC